GAGUGCCGCCCGUUGAGGGCGNUUUUCCACGGUGUAAGGAGCCGUGGGAAUAAGGAGAGGGCAGGACUGGUGUCAGCCGCCGCGGUAAUACCAGCUCUCCGAGUGGUGGGGACGAUUAUUGGGCUUAAAGCGUUCGUAGCCGGCUUAACAAGUCUUCCGUUAAAUCCAACGAUCUAAUCGUUGGGCUGCGGGAGAUACUGUUGGGCUAGGAGGCGGGAGAAGCCGACGGUAUUCUCGGGGUAGGGGUGAAACCCUGUAAUCCCGGGAGNACNNCCAGUGGCGAAGGCGGUCGGCUAGAACGCGCUCGACGGUGAGGGACGAAAGCUGGGGGAGCGAACCGNAUUAGAAACCCGGGUAGUCCCAGCUGUAAACGAUGCGGGCUAGGUGUUGGGGUGGCCACGAGCCANUUCAGUGCCGNANGNAAGCAAUUAAGCCCGCCGCCNGGGGAGUACGGNCGCNNGNNUGAAACUUAAAGNAAUUG
rnacentral:rRNA from 1 species